rnacentral:rRNA from 1 species
GGGGRGUGGAAUUCACGUGUAGCAGUGAAAUGCGUAGAGAUGUGGAGGAACACCAAUGCGAAGGCAGCCCCCUGGGUCGAUACUGACGCUCAUGCAGAAAGCGUGGGGAGCAAWCAGGAUUAGAUWCCCUGGUAGUCCACGCCCUWAASGAUGGUCAACUAGGUGUUGGGUGGGUAAAACCAUUUWGUACCGGGGGCUAACGCGUGAAGUUGACCGCCUGGGGGAGUACGGCCGCAAGGUUWAAACUCAAAGGAAWUUGACGGGGACCCCGCACAAGCGGUGGAUGAUGUGGAUUAAUUCGAUGCAACGCGAAAAACCUUACCUACCCUUGACAUGUCCAGAAUCCCUGAGAGAUUUGGGGAGUGCCUUCGGGAACUGGAACACAGGUGCUGCAUGGCUGUCGUCAGCUCGUGUCGUGAGAUGUUGGGUUAAGUCCCGCAACGAGCGCAACCCUUGUCAUUAGUUGCCAUCAUUUAGUUGGGCACUCUAAUGAGACUGCCGGUGACAAACCGGAGGAAGGUGGGGAUGACGUCAAGUCCUCAUGGCCCUUAUGGGUAGGGCUUCACACGUCAUACAAUGGUCGGUACAGAGGGUUGCCAACCCGCGAGGGGGAGCUAAUCUCAGAAAGCCGAUCGUAGUCCGGAUCGCAGUCUGCAACUCGACUGCGUGAAGUCGGAAUCGCUAGUAAUCGCGGAUCAGCAUGUCGCGGUGAAUACGUUCCCGGGUCUUGUACACACCGCCCGUCACACCAUGGGAGUGGGUUCCACCAGAAGUAGGUAGCCUAACCGUAAGGAGGGCGCUUACCACGGUGGGGUUCAUGACUGGGGUGAAGUCGUAACAAGGUAAC